rnacentral:pre_miRNA from 1 species
AGCCCAUAAGAGAAAGAACAGAGGGCCUUAGAGUAGUGGGAAUGGGACCAUGGAGGAAAUCCUAACUUGCUUAAUUUUCAUCUCUAGUAGAAGGUGAGAAUUUAGCAUGGUGUUUCCUAAUGCCUCCAUUCCUAUUGUUCUAAAGCACUCCAUACUCUUUCAUUUUUGG